UAUGUUUGUGAUGUUACUCUGAGUGCAUAUCCACACCGGGCGAGCUUGAAAAAUAUGCCCGGCCACGGUGGGAUUCGAACCUACGACCUUUGGAAUACCAGCCCAAUGCUCUUCCAGCUGAGCUACGCGGUCAGGACGGUUCCAGUAAGUGAUAUUUCGGAACAGUAUCUAGUUCCUUCAAUGCCAAUGUGUUCUUGUAAUAUGAAUUUUUUUUUUUUUUUUUUUUUUUUUUUUUU